GACGAACGCUGGCGGCGUGCUUAACACAUGCAAGUCGAACGGAAAGGCCCUGCUUUUGUGGGGUGCUCGAGUGGCGAACGGGUGAGUAACACGUGAGUAACCUGCCCUUGACUUUGGGAUAACUUCAGGAAACUGGGGCUAAUACCGGAUAGGAGCUCCUGCUGCAUGGUGGGGGUUGGAAAGUUUCGGCGGUUGGGGAUGGACUCGCGGCUUAUCAGCUUGUUGGUGGGGUAGUGGCUUACCAAGGCUUUGACGGGUAGCCGGCCUGGGAGGGUGACCGGCCACAUUGGGACUGAAAUAAGGCCCAGACUCCUCCGGGAGGCAGCAGUGGGGAAUAUUGCACAAUGGGCGGAAGCCUGAUGCAGCAACGCCGCGUGCGGGAUGACGGCCUUCGGGUUGUAAACCGCUUUCGCCUGUGACGAAGCGUGAGUGACGGUAAUGGGUAAAGAAGCACCGGCUAACUACGUG
rnacentral:rRNA from 1 species